GAGUCAAUGGCUCGCUUCCCAAGCGGGAGAGGUUCAACAGUCCAAGUUUCAUUCUUCUCAAGAGCUUCAAUUUCAUGGCUUAUGGCCUCAUGCUAAUGCUCAUGUUUGAUGGCCUGAAAAUAAGUACGUGGCUCAUCUACAAAAGUGAUGGCCGUCAAAAAAAAUAGAGCGAGCAGUGGAUAGUCUAUCUCAUGGGAUAAAUGUGAAGAGAAGAUACACUACACCAG
rnacentral:lncRNA from 1 species